GAAAACGAGCAAGGAGAAACCUUUUUGGAAACGUAAGUUGUUUAGCUGACAAGAUUUAAUUUCCACGUUGCAACACUGAAGUAAAUAUUUAAGAAAAAAUAAGGCCAGAGUGAUAUAUUGUUUCGCAUAAGAACGAAAAAAACUCUGGUUAUUCUACGAAAAAUCACACUUGGGAACUUAUUAGUGUUAAAAAAAGUGGUAACUACUUUUUUACGACCGUGCUACGCACCUGGAUCGGAUGACGUCAUUGCACGCGGGUGGUAUAUUACAGAAUAACCCUAGUCAUAGCCUCUAUGCCGUCUAAACAGCUGAUCGCAUGUACUGACAUGCUGCCGUUUGACUGAUGCCCGAUAUGGAUAGCCGAAUUCAGAGCUCUAUGUAUAGAUCUAAGAAUAACCCGAGAUAGUUUUUGCUCUACAUGUCAUGUAUUAUAUGCUGGUCGUGUUAGAAUGGACUUUAUAGUUCAUUUUUCUACAUAUUUCAAACUGUUUGGAAAUCAGAAAUUAUGUCCGAAAUUUUCUGUUAUGCUUUAUACGAUGAUAAAAUUUUGAGACAAGGUGAGUUUCUUUUUAUUUGGUGGGGGGGGGGGGGUGGUUAACGCCGUUUUUCAACAGUUGUUUUUUUGUUGGGUUUAACGUCGCACCGACUUUCCAGCUUUGAUGGUGGAGGAAGACCCCAGGUGCCCCUGCGUGCAUUAUUUCGUCACGAGCGGGCACCUGGGUAGAACCACUGACCUUCCGUAAGCCAGCUGGAUGGCUUCCUCACAUGAAGAAUUCAACGCCACGAGUGAGGCUCGAACCCACAUAGAUGAGGGGCAAGUGAUUUGAAGUCAGCGAUCUUAACCACCCGGCCACGGAGGCCCCUGGUUUUCAACAGUAUUCCAGUCAUGUAACGGCGGGCAGUUAACCUAAACAGUGUUCCUGGAUUCUGUACCAGUACAAACCUGUUCUCCGCAAGUAAUUGCCAACUUCCCCACAUGAAUCAGAGGUGGAGGAUUAAUGAUUUCUGACACAACGUCGUUUAUCAAAUGAUCACGGAGAACAUACGCCAGCCCGAGGAUCGAACUCACGACCCCGCGACCCGUAGACCGACGCUCUACCUACUGAGCUAAGCGGGUGGGUAGUACCUUGCUUAAUCAAUCCUUAAGGCUCACUUCCCAUGAUAAAGAGGAUGCCUCAGUGCGUAGGUAUAUCUAACUUCACUUAUAUUCGCCAGCUUUUGACUCAUACAGGUAAGUAGGUUUUUAAAUAUUAACUAUACAUUUGUGUAUUUAGCUACUACUGAGGUACUACUGCUCACUAUGGUAAGUGAAUCCAACUUUAGAUUUUCAGUGUUAUCAACUUCCACGCAAGGAAAGAAUCGCCGUUUAUGAAACAAGAUUGAUUGACUUACAUCUGUAAUGAGGUAAAAACAGACAGAAUAAGUCAAUUUUAGCUAGACGUUAUUUAAAGCCUAAGUAGAUAUGAAUACCACGAAACAAAGCUGUACAAUGACUGACCUCAGGAGCAGAUUUACAUGAUAUAUUGUUUGACGAGUGAUUGUAACUGGCUCCGAAUCACUUACCUACCCAUCACCCCCAACGAUGUGGACUCGAAACCUCGUUCGAAACCUCGUUUUAAGUGUAGAAGCCAGCCAGCAGCCUUAAGAGGAUCGGUGUUCUACCCAGUUGCUCGUCCAUGCCUAAAGGAACUUUACCGUCAAAGUUUAAGGUCGAAAUAUGAUCUUAUUCAGACUUUUGAUUUAGAUUUUCACCCUUAUUUAGCAUUUGUAACCAAAACAUUGAGAAGACAGACAUGAAUUAUAAAGUUCUUUAUUGUUGUUGUUGUUAUUGUUGUUGUUAUCAAAUAUGACAAGAUCUUGUUAUUGUUUGUAAUUUUCAGGUUUCAGGUCCAAGAUGACAAUUUCGUUUAUAUGUGGAAGGCUGGUGGGCUGCAUUAAUUGCUAAGCGCGAAUUUGAAAAUGCGAAUUGCCAAAAAUGUUUUUAACAAAAUUACAGAUGACAAGUUACAAAAAUAUAUGAAUCUGAUAUUUACUUUUGACGGAUGUAAUAUUUGUGUUGUUAAUGUCAAUUCCAAAAUUUCUAGGUCAAAUGCAAAAUGACUAUUACUAAAUGCAAAGUGCGUGUUCCAAAAUACAAAAUUUAAUACAUACUACAUGGUUUGUGACAAAAUUGUAUCCAUAUCAUUAAAAUGCUUUGUUGUCUAGCUAACAUUCUCUGUAAACACGUGCGAUACAAGAAUAUGGCAUUUGAUGCGUUGCAAUUAACUUGGGGCAUCCAUUUUCCAUAUAUGUUAAAUGUAUAAUGAUAAAUGCCAAAUUCUGGUUAUUCUUGAGCAGGAUCAUGGUGAUGCUGACGGGGACGGAGGCAUGAUGCAGUUCCUUGCAGAGGAAGAUAGCCUACCUGGUGUGGAAGAGGCGGUUGAAUUUUCCACCCUACACUACGACAACCUGAGGAAGGUAGGAGAGGGGACGUUUGGAGAGGUGUUUGUCGGGGCGAGCAACGGCGAGGAGAAAGUCAUCAAAGU